rnacentral:misc_RNA from 1 species
GAGUUACAGGGGGAGCCGAAGCUCCCCCACAAAUGUUGCAACACGUUUUUCUUGUUAUACGGGCUUGUUGCUCUUAUUCGAUCACCCGUUCCGGGUUCCAUGUCGUCCGGAAAACCUCCCGUCAUCGGGAGCAAGAGCAAACGGAUUACUUUGGAUGCUGACGCGACCUCGGGUCUUCGACCCAACCAGAACCGGUACCGCCUAUCGACAGUU